rnacentral:rRNA from 1 species
UACGUAGGGGGCAAGCGUUGUCCGGAUUUACUGGGCGUAAAGAGCGCGCAGGCGGCUGGUCAAGUCCGAUGUGAAAGCUCCCGGCUUAACUGGGAAAUUGCAUCGGAAACUGAUCGGCUGGAAGUGGGAGAGGGUAGCGGAAUUCCCGGUGUAGUGGUGAAAUGCGUAGAUAUCGGGAGGAACACCAUGGUGCGAAAGCGGCUACCUGGCCCAUUCUUGACGCUGAG